rnacentral:rRNA from 1 species
UACGUAGGGGGCAAGCGUUGUCCGGAAUCAUUGGGCGUAAAGAGCGUGUAGGCGGCCCGAUAAGUCCGCUGUGAAAGUCCAGGGCUCAACCCUGGGAUGCCGGUGGAUACUGUCGGGCUCGAGUCCGGAAGAGGAGUGUGGAAUUCCUGGUGUAGCGGUGAAAUGCGCAGAUAUCAGGAGGAACACCAAUGGCGAAGGCAGCACUCUGGGACGUGACUGACGCUGAGGCACGAAAGCGUGGGGAGCAAACAGG